rnacentral:rRNA from 1 species
GUUGAAGGAUUUGGAAAAUUCCGCUAAAGAGGGUGAAAGCCCCGUAGACGAAAUGCUGACAACACCUAGGAGGAUCCUGAGUACGGCGGAACACGAGAAAUUCCGUCGGAAUCCGCGGGGACCAUCCCGCAAGGCUAAAUACUCCCUAGUGACCGAUAGUGAACCAGUACCGUGAGGGAAAGGUGAAAAGCACCCCGGAAGGGGAGUGAAAUAGAUCCUGAAACCGUGUGCCUACAACAAGUCAAAGCUCGUUAAUGAGUGAUGGCGUGCCUUUUGUAGAAUGAACCGGCGAGUUACGAUUGCAUGCGAGGUUAAGUCGAAGAGACGGAGCCGCAGCGAAAGCGAGUCUGAAUAGGGCGAAUGAGUAUGUAGUCGUAGACCCGAAACCAUGUGAUCUACCCAUGUCCAGGUUGAAGGUGCGGUAAAACGCACUGGAGGACCGAACCCACGUACGUUGAAAAGUGCGGGGAUGAGGUGUGGGUAGCGGAGAAAUUCCAAACGAACUUGGAGAUAGCUGGUUCUCUCCGAAAUAGCUUUAGGGCUAGCCUCGGAAUUGAGAAUGAUGGAGGUAGAGCACUGUUUGGACUAGGGGCCCAUCUCGGGUUACCGAAUUCAGAUAAACUCCGAAUGCCAUUCAUUUAUAUCCGGGAGUCAGACUGCGAGUGAUAAGAUCCGUAGUCGAAAGGGAAACAGCCCAGACCACCAGCUAAGGUCCCAAAAUAUAUGUUAAGUGGAAAAGGAUGUGGGGUUGCACAGACAACUAGGAUGUUGGCUUAGAAGCAGCCACCAUUUAAAGAGUGCGUAAUAGCUCACUAGUCGAGUGACCCUGCGCCGAAAAUGUACCGGGGCUAAACAUAUUACCGAAGCUGUGGACUACACCAUUAGGUGUAGUGGUAGGAGAGCGUUCUAAGGGCGUUGAAGGUCGAUCGUGAGGACGGCUGGAGCGCUUAGAAGUGAGAAUGCCGGUAUGAGUAGCGAAAGACAGGUGAGAAUCCUGUCCACCGUAUGACUAAGGUUUCCUGGGGAAGGCUCGUCCGCCCAGGGUUAGUCGGGACCUAAGCCGAGGCCGAUAGGCGUAGGCGAUGGACAACAGGUUGAUAUUCCUGUACCAGUUGUUUUUGUUUGAGCAAUGGAGGGACGCAGUAGGCUAAGGAAUGCAUGCGAUUGGAAGUGCAUGUCCAAGCAAUGAGUCUUGAGUAGAGUUAAAUGCUUUACUCUUUAAGGACAAGUUGUGACGGGGAGCGAAAUAAUAGUAGCGAAGUUCCUGAUGUCACACUGCCAAGAAAAGC